rnacentral:RNase_P_RNA from 1 species
AGUUAGCCAGAUGAUCGCUAGUAUUUAUAUUAGAGGAAAGUCCGGGCUCCACGGAUCAAGGUGCUAGAUAACGUCUAGAAGGCGCGAGCUUAUGGACAGUGCUGAAGAAAUUAAACCGCCUAAAGAUCGUAAGAUCUCGGUAAGGGUGAGAAGGUGCGGUAAGAGCGCACCGUACGAGAGGUGACUUUUCGUAGCUGAGGUAAACCCCACCUGGAGCAAGACCAAAUAGGAGUACAUUAGACGUGAUCCGCGUUGUACUCGGGUAGGUCGCUUGAGACUAGGAGUGAUCCUAGUCCUAGAUGAAUGAUUAUCCACGACAGAACCCGGCUUACCGGCUAACUCAU